UCAGCCCCCGUACCGCCGGCCUCCAUUAAACUUCAAAAAAACUCAGGCUGCACGUCGAUCCGUCCUUCCGGCCCUUCUCCCUCCAACCUAGGUACGAUAGAUGAACCACGUGAAGGACGUGAUAUUGGAACCGAACACGAAGACGAUGUUUGGUGGACAUAUCCAGAAGAGGCAAAGAACCAGGAGUACAUGCUUGGACCGGAAUACUCGCCAAGCGAGUGUCAUCUAACAAACACUGACCUAGUGUUAAUCCCAGG